GAUGAACGCUGGCGGCGUGCCUAAUACAUGCAAGUCGAGCGAACGGACGAGAAGCUUGCUUCUCUGAUGUUAGCGGCGGACGGGUGAGUAACACGUGGAUAACCUACCUAUAAGACUGGGAUAACUUCGGGAAACCGUAGCUAAUACCGGAUAAUAUUUUGAACCGCAUGGUUCAAAAGUGAAAGACGGUCUUGCUGUCACUUAUAGAUGGAUCCACGCUGCAUUAGCUAGUUGGUAAGGUAACGGCUUACCAAGGCAACGAUGCAUAGCCGACCUGAGAGGGUGAUCGGCCACACUGGAACGGAGACACGGACAAGACUCCUACGGGAGGCAGCAGUAGGGAAUCUUCCGCAAUGGGCGAAAGCAUGACGGAGCAACGCCGCGUGAGUGAUGAAGGUCUUCGGAUCGUAAAACUCUGUUAUUAGGGAAGAACAUAUGUGUAAGUAACUGUGCACAUCUUGACGGUACCUAAUCAGAAAGCCACGGCUAACUACGUG
rnacentral:rRNA from 1 species